UCGUAGCGGAUGAAGGGAGCUUGCUCCUGGAUUCAGCGGCGGACGGGUGAGUAAUGCCUAGGAAUCUGCCUGGUAGUGGGGGAUAACGUCCGGAAACGGGCGCUAAUACCGCAUACGUCCUGAGGGAGAAAGUGGGGGAUCUUCGGACCUCACGCUAUCAGAUGAGCCUAGGUCGGAUUAGCUAGUUGGUGGGGUAAAGGCCUACCAAGGCGACGAUCCGUAACUGGUCUGAGAGGAUGAUCAGUCACACUGGAACUGAGACACGGCCCAGACUCCUACGGGAGGCAGCAGUGGGGAAUAUUGGACAAUGGGCGAAAGCCUGAUCCAGCCAUGCCGCGUGUGUGAAGAAGGUCUUCGGAUUGUAAAGCACUUUAAGUUGGGAGGAAGGGCAGUAAGUUAAUACCUUGCUGUUUUGACGUUACCAACAGAAUAAGCACCGGCUAACUUCGUGCCAGCAGCCGCGGUAAUACGAAGGGUGCAAGCGUUAAUCGGAAUUACUGGGCGUAAAGCGCGCGUAGGUGGUUCAGCAAGUUGGAUGUGAAAUCCCCGGGCUCAACCUGGGAACUGCAUCCAAAACUACUGAGCUAGAGUACGGUAGAGGGUGGUGGAAUUUCCUGUGUAGCGGUGAAAUGCGUAGAUAUAGGAAGGAACACCAGUGGCGAAGGCGACCACCUGGACUGAUACUGACACUGAGGUGCG
rnacentral:rRNA from 1 species